rnacentral:tRNA from 13 species
AGGGCAGUGGCUCAAUUGGUAGAGCUCCGGUCUCCAAAACCGGCGGUUGGGGGUUCGAGUCCCUCCUGCCCUGCGA